ensembl:rRNA 5S_rRNA 5S ribosomal RNA
GUCUAUGGCCAUACCACCCUGAACACGCCCGAUCUCUUCUGAUCUUGGAAGCUAAGCAAGGUCGGGCCUGGUUGGUACUUGGAUGGGAGAAAUUAAGAUGAUUUGGUGGGCAGGCA